GUUCUCGUGGCCUAGUGGUUAUGGCAUCUGUCUUACAAAGCUCGCUAGGUUACGGAUAACUCCGUCAUCAAAGUAGUGAUCGCUUCUUUGAACACAGAAGAUCCCCGGUUCGAUCCCGGGCGAGAACA
rfam:Fungal sp. No.14919 DNA, contig: Contig0063.